GACGGGGGAUGCGAGCGUUAUCCGGAAUGAUUGGGCGUAAAGGGUCCGCAGGUGGCCCGGUCAGUCCGCUGUCAAAGCCUGGGGCUCAACCCUGGAGAGGCGGCGGAGACCACCGGGCUUGAGUCCGGUAGGGGCAGAGGGAAUUCCCGGUGGAGCGGUGAAAUGCGCAGAUAUCAGGAGGAACACCGGUGGCGAAGGCGGGUCUCUGGGCAGUAACUGACGCUGAGGAGCGAAAGCGUGGGGAGCGAACAGG
rnacentral:rRNA from 1 species